CAUGCAAGUCGAACGAAGUAGCAAUACUUAGUGGCAGACGGGUGAGUAACAUGUGGGUAUCUGCCCUUUGGCCUGGAAUAACACGAGGAAACUUGUGCUAAUACUGGAUAAGUCUUUACGGAGAAAGCUUUAUGCACCAUUGGAUGAGCCCGCACUCGAUUAGUUUGUUGGUGGGGUAAUGGCCUACCAAGACUGUGAUCAAUAGCUGAUUUGAGAGGAUGAUCAGCCACAUUGGGACUGAGACACGGCCCAAACUCCUACGGGAGGCAGCAGUGGGGAAUCUUGCACAAUGGAGGAAACUCUGAUGCAGCGAUGCCGCGUGAGUGAAGAAGGCCUUUGGGUUGUAAAGCUCUUUCGUCGGGGAAGAAAAUGACUGUACCCGAAUAAGAAGGUCCGGCUAACUUCGUGCCAGCAGCCGCGGUAAUACGAAGGGACCUAGCGUAGUUCGGAAUUACUGGGCUUAAAGAGUUCGUAGGUGGUUGAAAAAGUUGGUGGUGAAAUCCCAGAGCUUAACUCUGGAACUGCCAUCAAAACUUUUCAGCUAGAGUUUGAUAGAGGAAAGCAGAAUUUCUAGUGUAGAGGUGAAAUUCGUAGAUAUUAGAAAGAAUACCAAUUGCGAAGGCAGCUUUCUGGAUCAUUACUGACACUGAGGAACGAAAGCAUGGGUAGCGAAGAGGAUUAGAUGCCCUCGUAGUCCAUGCCGUAAACGAUGUGUGUUAGACGUUGGAAAUUUAUUUUCAGUGUCGCAGCGAAAGCGAUAAACACACCGCCUGGGGAGUACGACCGCAAGGUUAAAACUCAAAUGAAUUGA
rnacentral:rRNA from 1 species